CCUACGGGGGGCUGCAGUGGGGAAUAUUGGACAAUGGGCGAAAGCCUGAUCCAGCCAUGCCGCGUGUGUGAAGAAGGCCUUCGGGUUGUAAAGCACUUUCAGUGGGGAAGAAAGCCUUGGGGCUAAUACCCUCGAGGAAGGACAUCACCCACAGAAGAAGCACCGGCUAACUCCGUGCCAGCAGCCGCGGUAAUACGGAGGGUGCGAGCGUUAAUCGGAAUUACUGGGCGUAAAGCGCGCGUAGGCGGUCUGAUAAGCCGGUUGUGAAAGCCCCGGGCUCAACCUGGGAACGGCAUCCGGAACUGUCAGGCUAGAGUGCAGGAGAGGAAGGUAGAAUUCCCGGUGUAGCGGUGAAAUGCGUAGUGAUCGGGAGGAAUACCAGUGGCGAAGGCGGCCUUCUGGACUGACACUGACGCUGAGGUGCGAAAGCGUGGGUAGCAAACAGGAUUAGAUACCCGAGUAGUC
rnacentral:rRNA from 1 species